rnacentral:rRNA from 1 species
AUUGAACGCUGGCGGCAUGCUUUACACAUGCAAGUCGAACGGUAACAGGCCGCAAGGUGCUGACGAGUGGCGAACGGGUGAGUAAUGCAUCGGAACGUGCCCAGUCGUGGGGGAUAACGCAGCGAGAGCUGCGCUAAUACCGCAUACGAUCUAUGGAUGAAAGCGGGGGACCGUAAGGCCUCGCGCGAUUGGAGCGGCCGAUGUCAGAUUAGGUAGUUGGUGGGGUAAAGGCUCACCAAGCCAACGAUCUGUAGCUGGUCUGAGAGGACGACCAGCCACACUGGGACUGAGACACGGCCCAGACUGCUACGGGAGGCAGCAGUGGGGAAUUUUGGACAAUGGGGGCAAGCCUGAUCCAGCAAUGCCGCGUGCAGGAAGAAGGCCUUCGGGUUGUAAACUGCUUUUGUACGGAACGAAACGGCUCUGGUUAAUACCCGGGGCUAAUGACGGUACCGUAAGAAUAAGCACCGGCUAACUACGUGCCAGCCGCCGCGGUAACAC